GUGUUCCACGCUGUCGGUUCGCCGCCCGUCGGUGUUAACUGGCAUGCCUGUGGAACGUCCUGCCGGUGGCGGUCCGGGCUCUCGGUGAGCGUAGGGUUCGCCUGAAGCUGGUCUUGUAGUUCCGGCCGCCGGUCAUAUCCCGCCACGGUGCUCUUCACCGAGUGUCGAGGUGGGCCGGCACGUUUACUUUGAACAAAUUAGAGUGCUUAAAGCAGGCUUGUGUCCGCCUGAAUACUGUGUGCAUGGAAUAAUGGAAUAGGAUCUCGGUUCUAUUUUGUUGGUUUUCGGAACCCGAGGUAAUGAUUAAUAGGGACAGGCGGGGGCAUUCGUAUUGCGACGUUAGAGGUGAAAUUCUUGGAUCGUCGCAAGACGAACCUAAGCGAAAGCAUUUGCCAAGUAUGUCCUCGUUAAUCAAGAACGAAAGUUAGAGGUUCGAAGGCGAUCAGAUACCGCCCUAGUUCUAACCAUAAACGAUGCCAGCCAGCGAUCCGCCGACGUUCCUCCGAUGACUCGGCGGGCAGCUUCCGGGAAACCAAAGCUUUUGGGUUCCGGGGGAAGUAUGGUUGCAAAGCUGAAACUUAAAGGAAUUGACGGAAGGGCACCACCAGGAGUGGAGCCUGCGGCUUAAUUUGACUCAACACGGGAAACCUCACCAGGCCCGGACACCGGAAGGAUUGACAGAUUGAGAGCUCUUUCUUGAUUCGGUGGGUGGUGGUGCAUGGCCGUUCUUAGUUGGUGGAGCGAUUUGUCUGGUUAAUUCCGAUAACGAACGAGACUCUAGCCUGCUAACUAGGCGAUUUCCGGUACCCACAAUAGUGUUACCGGCGAUUCAAUUUCUUCUUAGAGGGACAGGCGGCUCCUAGCCGCACGAGACUGAGCAAUAACAGGUCUGUGAUGCCCUUAGAUGUCCUGGGCCGCACGCGCGCUACACUGAAGGAUUCAGCGUGUCUUCCCUGGCCGACAGGCCCGGGUAACCCGUUGAACCUCCUUCGUGCUAGGGAUUGGGGCUUGCAAUUUUUCCCCAUGAACGAGGAAUUCCCAGUAAGCGCGAGUCAUAAGCUCGCGUUGAUUACGUCCCUGCCCUUUGUACACACCGCCCGUCGCUACUACCGAUUGAAUGAUUUAGUGAGGUCUUCGGACUGGUGCGCGGCGAUCGUCUCGUACGGCCGCCGAUGUUGCCGGAAAGAUGACCAAACUUGAUCAUUUAGAGGAAGUAAAAGU
rnacentral:rRNA from 1 species